UUCGCACUGUGGUACAUUUAUGCUCUGAAGGACAUAACCAGGAGCUGUGGUAGACGGUGGCAGGUGGCAGGUGACUGAAGGGUGCUCUCAGAUUGGGAAGGUGGUCAGUCUCCGUCUGAGACCAGCCUGCAUGUCGAACAGGGUUGAGGAAGGCUCACCCUCCCUUCUAGGAACCAAAGAGCAGGAGCUUGGCAGCCAUGUUGUGACCCUGAGGAUGCAGGCAAGAGAUGAAGACCUAAUGUGCUGAGAAAGAGCAGAAUGCUAAAAGACCCUGCAUCCACAGCGAUAUCACACUGUUGCCACCCAGCCCUGGACCUCGGGGCUCCAGGAGUCUUGUUCAUAGUGGACAAGAAGAUGUCUUUUAAAAGCGUAAAACAGUUUGUUGGGUGUUCUAUAACGGCGGCCAAGCACAUUCCAAUGUCACAGUAUCUUCUGUUCAGAGUGAGCGCCGAUGGAGUCUUGCUCAGGAAGAAAUCAGCGAAAAUGCUCUUGAGCCACACUGACGAGCUGCUAAUUUCUAGGCCCUGAGGAUCUGAGGUGAACUGACCCAAUCCCUGAUUUCACAACUGCCAACAUGGAGAAAAUCACGCAGGAUGGCCAGGCUGUGCCCAGCAGCUGCCCUCUCUCAUGGCCACUCUGCACUGAGCUCCUCACACUGGAGGACCCGCUAGGUCCUGGGCGGCCAAUGCUGAUGACACACACACGCCUUGCUGGACAGGGUGGACCUGUGCAUAACCAACCCCAGGCCCAUGUGGGUCCAGACUGAACUUCCAGAGCAACGAGAGAACAUUCCAG
rnacentral:lncRNA from 1 species